AUGCAUUAUCUCAAACAUUUGGUAAGCACCACAACUAGAGAAACUAUAUAUAUAUAUAUAUAUAUAUAUAUAUAUAUGUGCCAAGGGACUGAACAAAGCACGGCUAUUCAUUCAAAAGCAGAUAAUGAUCAACACACAAGAAGGGGAACAUGCCAGCACAAAGUAAAACCAACAUGUGUUUGCAGCUACCUGAUGUCCAAAGCUCAUUUUGACUACGGAUGUCAAUCAUGCUCUUCUUUUUCCCUUGCUACUUGUUGCCUCUGCAGCAAAAUUGUAGUAGCAAAGCACCUUAAAUUAAUUGACAAAAGAGGCACCUCUAUUCACAAAAGAGAGAGUAUGUCCAAUAUGUUGACAUUGUUUAACAUGGCAGUCUGCAAAUUCUAUUGUGCAUCUACAAAUCUUAUCAUACUGUAA
rnacentral:rRNA from 1 species